rnacentral:rRNA from 1 species
UACGUAGGUGGCGAGCGUUGUCCGGAAUUACUGGGUGUAAAGGGCGUGUAGGCGGGAAUGCAAGUCAGAAUGUGAAAUACUGAGGCUUAACCUCAGGGCUGCAUCUGAAACUGUGUUUCUUGAGUGUCGGAGAGGAAAGUGGAAUUCCUAGUGUAGCGGUGAAAUGCGUAGAUAUUAGGAGGAACACCAGUUUGCGAAGGCGGCUCUCUGGACUGUAACUGACACUGAGGCACGAAAGCAUGGGUAGCGAACCAGGAUUA